CUGAGAUUGAAGCCUGCUGGUUAUUCUCCUUCUGUGCUAGAAGGUUUGCUCCCUGUAGUAUUAACAUAAGUAGUUGGAUGUGGAUUCUGUCUUCCUCCAUAUCCUUUCUUCCUAUUCAUUGAUUCCAUUAACUCUUUCUUGUGUCUAGCCUUUUCUACUGCAUGACUUAAUGAAUAGGGAUCAAGCAUUUUAACAGUAUGCCUAAUCUCUUCUUUAAGCCCCUCUAUAAAAAACCCUAGAAAAAACUCUUCAGCUAUGGUUGGAUGUUUAAUCAACACCCAUGCCUUCAAAUCUUCAAACAUCUCCAAAUAUUCAUUAACUG
rnacentral:lncRNA from 1 species